rnacentral:lncRNA from 1 species
AUGGUGUGCAUUAGAGACACAUGAUGUGCAUCAAAGCACAUUGAUUGGCCACGUAGAAGAGGUGCAUCAGCUAUCAUCCAAUGCUUGUUUCCAUUAUUAGUGAACUCUAUUCUGAUUGUGCAAAAAGCAGGUUGAUUUUUUUACGUUCGUUCUUUUUUUUUUCUUUUUCUUUUUCAAAUUCAUUUUGAUGCUUAAUAAAAAGCUUUAAUUUUUUCCUUUCUUUCUUUUUUCAGACCUUGCUGCAGAGUUACACCAUGUUGAGCAUCAACAAUUCAGCAUACUCCAGUUUUCAUAUUGAACAUUGAAGAUGACUAAUUGUUUUAAUCUUACAUUUGGAUGACUGUACUAUAAUACACUUAAUACUUGUGACUUAGUUUAAAUACAUGUUGGUUGUGCUGUGCUAGUUUGUAAUGUGCUUUGAAUUGAUGCAAGCAUAUUACAAUAGUAUUAAUGGCCUCGACCCCAAAGCGGUGUUCUAUAAUUAUUAAGGAAUGACC